UGCAAGUCGAACGGUAACAGGAAUUAGCUUGCUAAUUUGCUGACGAGUGGCGCACGGGUGCGUAACGCGUAUACAAUCUACCUUUUGCUGAGGGAUAGCCCAGAGAAAUUUGGAUUAAUACCUCAUGGUAUUAUUGAUAGGCAUCUAUUAAUAAUUAAAGGUUACGGCAAAAGAUGAGUAUGCGUCCCAUUAGCUAGUUGGCGAGGUAACGGCUCACCAAGGCAACGAUGGGUAGGGGUCCUGAGAGGGAGAUCCCCCACACUGGUACUGAGACACGGACCAGACUCCUACGGGAGGCAGCAGUGAGGAAUAUUGGACAAUGGGCGAGAGCCUGAUCCAGCCAUGCCGCGUGCAGGAAGACUGCCCUAUGGGUUGUAAACUGCUUUUAUACAGGAAGAAUAAGCCUUACGUGUAAGGUGAUGACGGUACUGUAAGAAUAAGGACCGGCUAACUCCGUGCCAGCAGCCGCGGUAAUACGGAGGGUCCGAGCGUUAUCCGGAAUUAUUGGGUUUAAAGGGUCCGUAGGCGGAUGAUUAAGUCAGGGGUGAAAGUUUGCAGCUCAACUGUAAAAUUGCCUUUGAUACUGGUUAUCUUGAGUUGU
rnacentral:rRNA from 1 species